CAGAGUGGUCCAGAUGAGUGGGUGAAUGCUUGCAGGCCAGUACGGCUGUGUGCUCUGCUCUUUUAGGAGCUGGGCCACAGGCUGCUGACACUGGGUGUGGCAGUGGUGAUGUAACAGGAGCUUGCUGGGGCAGGGAGGUCCAGGGCUGAAGGAGAGCCACAACCUGGGGCUGGAGCUGUGAAGAUGCUCGUGGCCAUGCAGAAGACUUCUGCCCUGGAAUCUCCUGUGAGGUUGGCUGUGUCAUCUUGGCAAUGGGGCCACACAAUGAUCUCAGUGACAACAGAAAGUUACGGCAAAGUAAUGUGAUUUCUACUGAGGAGUUCUGCUACAAGGACUAAAUGUCUCAAUGAGCAUGCAAGUGUGAAGAGUGUGAAGAGUCUGUGCAAGACUGUCUUUCACGACAACAAGGCCACCUUCUGAUAUGAGAAGUUUUGCUUGGAAGAACAUUUAUUUUGAAGUGAAAUUACUGAAGGUCUAUGUGAGUUAGAACAUUCAGUGCAUUAUAUUAGCAACU
rnacentral:lncRNA from 1 species